GGGAAAGCACUCUAUGGCUGAAGCCUAGCUCAGCGCCAGGUGUCACCUCUGUACCAGAGGCUAAGCCAAGGCUUCCCACCUGGAUUAGUCCCCAGCACAGCUGAAAAGCUCAACCUGAAAAGGGCUGGAGCCAGGAAUAUGUCACUCUACCCAAUUUCAGGCAGUGAUUGGAUGAUGCUGGCUGUCUGUCACGAUGCAGAGGCGGGCCUGGAGGCCCUCCAUCCCGGAUGCUGGGGGAACUGCCCAAUCAGUGCGCAGAGGGAGAGGAAGGGCGGGCUUCCGCAAUAUCGCGGGUUUUUCUUCCUCAGCGACUUGGCCUUUCAUCCUUCAAGCCAAGGGUUUUCUGCUCCAGGGACUCAGGUGACUCUGCGCUGCCUGUGUCCCCCGUCACCCCCAUCUCAGGUGCCUCGAGGUUCCUCGAGAGGAUGCCAGGUCACCACAGAAGGCAAAAAUGGGCAAACAGCUGAGCAGACUUGUGGGAUCAGCCGAGUCAGCCCCAGAGUUCUCUGCUCCAGGGACUCAGGUGACUCUUCGCUGCCUGUGUCCCCCCCCACCCCCAUCUCGGGUGCCUGGAGGUUCCUUGAGAGGACACCGGGUCACCACAGAAGACAAAAAUGUAUCUGUGUGUACAUGGACUGUUGGGGAUUGAAUCGAAGGCUAUCAAGUUCUUACUACUGAGCUACUCUCCACCCCAAGAAAAUUAGUAUUGUAGACUGUUGUUUACUUAUUUGCUUAUGUAUUGAGUGCUGGGAUUGAAGCCAGGGACUUGUUCAUGUGUAUGUUGUCCUCCAAAAAUGAAUUUCAAUGUGUGAGCAGCAUUUUGGAGGUGGGCAGGUGUUUUACUGGGGAAUAAACCUAGAGGCACUUGACCACUGAGCACAUCUUCAGUCCUUUCUAUUUAUUUUGUACCUAUUUAUUUUUAUUUUUAUUUUGUAUAGUUGCAGAUGGGCAGAAUACCUUAUUUUGUUAAUUUUUCUGUGGUGCUAAGCAUCAUAUCCAGUGCCUCAUACAUGGUAGAAGUGCUCUGCCACUCAGCUACAAUACCAGUGCCCCCAUUUAUAGUUGAUGAAGGCCAAGAAUCACAAAAUUUCUGGAUGUCUUAUUAAAUUGCUGUGAGAGCCCCCAACGUGCCGUUUCCCUGCCUUGACCUCCCUAGUGGCUGAAAUUACAGGUGCACACCAGCAGUUGGAAGGACUUUUGAAGACUUAUCAUCCAAUUUCUUUCCAAAUGGAAAAUCAGUUUCCUUGCUUUUCUCCAAAGUGUUGAAAUUUGUAACUAUGACUCUUCUUCUUUGCUUUAUUUUUUACAAUAUUAUUUGUGAAAGGUAUUCAUUAUGUAAUAUUGUUUCUUAUGUUUAUAUUUGUUAAGGUUUAUCGAUUUCAUUCACUUCCUUAUUCAUUCCACAUCCUUAUUAAGUCAAUUUGGUUUUUCAGAGCAAUUUUAGGCUUACAUAGUUUGUUAGUCAAUGUUCUCUAGAGGAACAGCAUCAAGAGGAAGUGUGAUUAUAAAAGGGGACUUAUUAGAUUGGCCUACUUGACCCGAAGCUGGAUGUCCACAGUGGCCAUCUGCAGGGUGGAGAGCUUGAGAAGUAGUAGCUGCAGAGUCCAAGAGGAUGAAGCCUCAGAACAAGAGGGAUCAAUGGUGCUGCCCUAGUCCAGACCAAAGGUUCUGAAAUUUCCCUGGAGAAUCGCUGGCAGCGUCCACUUUGGGAGAGUGAAGAAAGCAGACUCUGAUAUCCUCAGGCCAUUGCAGCAGCCAUUGGAGAAGAAAGGCCUUUCUCUGCUGCUGCUUCCUCCUCCUUCCAACUUUUGUUCCACCCAAGACACUGUCCCAUUGGAUGGUGCUGCCUAUACCUAAGGAGGUUCUCUAGUUUGGUUCUCUGUUUCACAUGCCAAUCAUUUGUAGACACACCCUCAUGGACACACCCAGAGGCCUGUUAAUCACAGGUAUCUCUUAAUCCAAUGGGGUUGACAAUUCAAAUGACCCAUUACAUGUAGUAUCAAACACCCUUUCUCCACACUGUUUUCAACAUCUUGCAUUGAUGUUUGAUGCUUGCUAGUUACUGAACCAGUGUCCUACAUUUUUUAAGAGAGUGGAUGAAGCAACUGUUAUGCGAGAUUCAUGGAAUCCCAAUAGACCUCCAGGAGCUUAAUCUGAUGCAAUCACACAAGAGUCUUUAUUGCAAGCUUGAGCCUGGACUCACAACCGUUUCUGACUCAGCAGUCCCAGGGAGUGAUUCCCCGUCCUUUGUCCAGUGAGAUUUUAUAGGUUUGUGGGGGAUAUUCUAUGCAUCACAACAUCACACAAUAAAUCAUCCCAUACUGCGGGAAAGUCAAACAACAACUCUUAACAUUAAUUAGCACAUUCAGUGGUGGGAAAAAUUGGGGUAGGGGUGAUUGGUCAGUGCAAGAGGGGGAUUCAUUUUAGCUGAUUGGUUUAGGCCACGAGGGGUAUACAUGCUUAACUACAUGGUUUCCCAACAUGUUAUCAACCACCACAAUAAACUACUGGGGGUCAUCUGGCAUUCCAGGUAUUUUCCCUGUCUCAUGCUGAUUGGAGGUUUGCUAGGGAGUGCUAUGUGGGUUUUUCCAAGGACAAGGGUUCCGCCUCCUUCCCUGGGACAGGCCUUGAGGUAGAAUCUGCUGUUAUUUAUUUUUAAAAAUGGAGUCACUUCAGUUUCUCACAACACAUUUAUCAUCAGCUGAAAUCCAUCCUUUAUCUUAGGAUUCCUCCUCUGUCUAGUGUGAUUGUGUGUGUCAUGUACUGUACAUAAUAAUGUCAUGCAGAAGAGUUUCACUGCUCUGGGAAUCCUGUCUUCCACCUGUUCAUCCCUCCUCCCCAGCCCUUCCUGCCUCUCUGCUCC
rnacentral:lncRNA from 1 species